AUGGUCAGAUUUUAUCUCAUACACAUGAAGGUGUGAGUUUUUUAUGUGAGAAUCCAUGUGUUAUUGUUGUUCCUCUUUCAAUAACAUAUGAAGGACUUAAGAGUAUACUUUCUCAAAGUGUAGAUCAUCAAGUG